rnacentral:rRNA from 1 species
AUGGCCUCAUCCGCCGCCGCCUCCUCUCCCCUCUCCGGCCAGAUCACCGAGCGCCUCACCCGCACCAACUAUGUCCUAUGGUGCACUCAGAUCACGCCGCAGCUGAGAAGAGCUGGAGUCUUCGGGUACAUUGAUGAAAGCAUGGCGGAGCCGGCCGAGUUCGUCGUCAGCAAGGACAAGGAUGGAAAGGAGGAAACCAUCCCAAAUCCACUCCACGCCGUCUGGUUCUGAGAGGAUCAGCAGGUACUCGGUUAUCUUCUAAAUAACCUGUCCAAAGUGGUGCUAGUGCAGGUCACCUCCAUCGCG